UUUAAUAUGCAAUAUGACCCUGCAACCCAAGACCGGUUACUCACUGAAGCUAAGCAGGGCUGAGCCUGGUCAGUACCUGGAUGGAAGACCACAUGGGAAAACUAGGCUGCUAUUGGAA
rnacentral:rRNA from 1 species